rnacentral:rRNA from 1 species
CAGCUCGUGUUGUGAAAUGUUGGUUAAGUCCGCAACGAGCGCAACCCUUAUCUUGUUGCCAGCGGUUCGGCCGGGAACGUCAAAGGAGACUGCCAGUGAUAAACUGGAGGAAGGUGGGGAUGACGUCAAGUCAUCAUGGCCCUUACGAGUAGGGCUACACACGUGCUACAAUGGCAUAUACAAAGAGAAGCGACCUCGCGAGAGCAAGCGGACCUCAUAAAGUAUGUCGUAGUCCGGAUUGGAGUCUGCAACUCGACUCCAUGAAGUCGGAAUCGCUAGUAAUCGUAGAUCAGAAUGCUACGGUGAAUACGUUCCCGGGCCUU